rnacentral:rRNA from 1 species
AAAAGCCCGCUCGCCGGAAGACCAAGGGUUCCUGUCCAACGUUAAUCGGGGCAGGGUGAGUCGACCCCUAAGGCGAGGCCGAAAGGCGUAGUCGAUGGGAAACAGGUUAAUAUUCCUGUACUUGGUGUUACUGCGAAGGGGGGACGGAGAAGGCUAUGUUGGCCGGGCGACGGUUGUCCCGGUUUAAGCGUGUAGGCUGGUUUUCCAGGCAAAUCCGGAAAAUCAAGGCUGAGGCGUGAUGACGAGGCACUACGGUGCUGAAGCAACAAAUGCCCUGCUUCCAGGAAAAGCCUCUAAGCAUCAGGUAACAUCAAAUCGUACCCCAAACCGACACAGGUGGUCAGGUAGAGAAUACCAAGGCGCUUGAGAGAACUCGGGUGAAGGAACUAGGCAAAAUGGUGCCGUAACUUCGGGAGAAGGCACGCUGAUAUGUAGGUGAAGUCCCUCGCGGAUGGAGCUGAAAUCAGUCGAAGAUACCAGCUGGCUGCAACUGUUUAUUAAAAACACAGCACUGUGCAAACACGAAAGUGGACGUAUACGGUGUGACGCCUGCCCGGUGCCGGAAGGUUAAUUGAUGGGGUCAGCGCAAGCGAAGCUCUUGAUCGAAGCCCCGGUAAACGGCGGCCGUAACUAUAACGGUCCUAAGGUAGCGAAAUUCCUUGUCGGGUAAGUUCCGACCUGCACGAAUGGCGUAAUGAUGGCCAGGCUGUCUCCACCCGAGACUCAGUGAAAUUGAACUCGCUGUGAAGAUGCAGUGUACCCGCGGCAAGACGGAAAGACCCCGUGAACCUUUACUAUAGCUUGACACUGAACAUUGAGCCUUGAUGUGUAGGAUAGGUGGGAGGCUUAGAAGUGUGGACGCCAGUCUGCAUGGAGCCGACCUUGAAAUACCACCCUUUAAUGUUUGAUGUUCUAACGUUGACCCGUAAUCCGGGUUGCGGACAGUGUCUGGUGGGUAGUUUGACUGGGGCGGUCUCCUCCUAAAGAGUAACGGAGGAGCACGAAGGUUGGCUAAUCCUGGUCGGACAUCAGGAGGUUAGUGCAAUGGCAUAAGCCAGCUUGACUGCGAGCGUGACGGCGCGAGCAGGUGCGAAAGCAGGUCAUAGUGAUCCGGUGGUUCUGAAUGGAAGGGCCAUCGCUCAACGGAUAAAAGGUACUCCGGGGAUAACAGGCUGAUACCGCCCAAGAGUUCAUAUCGACGGCGGUGUUUGGCACCUCGAUGUCGGCUCAUCACAUCCUGGGGCUGAAGUAGGUCCCAAGGGUAUGGCUGUUCGCCAUUUAAAGUGGUACGCGAGCUGGGUUUAGAACGUCGUGAGACAGUUCGGUCCCUAUCUGCCGUGGGCGCUGGAGAACUGAGGGGGGCUGCUCCUAGUACGAGAGGACCGGAGUGGACGCAUCACUGGUGUUCGGGUUGUCAUGCCAAUGGCACUGCCCGGUAGCUAAAUGCGGAAGAGAUAAGUGCUGAAAGCAUCUAAGCACGAAACUUGCCCCGAGAUGAGUUCUCCCUGACCCUUUAAGGGUCCUGAAGGAACGUUGAAGACGACGACGUUGAUAGGCCGGGUGUGUAAGCGCAGCGAUGCGUUGAGCUAACCGGUACUAAUGAACCGUGAGGCUUAACCU